CGCGUAGGCGGCUUAUCAAGUCAGGCGUGAAAUUCCCGGGCUCAACCUGGGGGCUGCGCUUGAUACUGAUUGGCUUGAAUGCGGGAGAGGAUAGUGGAAUUCCCAGUGUAGAGGUGAAAUUCGUAGAUAUUGGGAAGAACACCGGUGGCGAAGGCGGCUAUCUGGCCCGUAAUUGACGCUGAGGCGCGAAAGCGUGGGGAGCAAACA
rnacentral:rRNA from 1 species